AUUGAACGCUGGCGGUAGGCCUAACACAUGCAAGUCGGGCGAGUGGCGGACGGGCGAGUAAUGUUUGGGGUUCUGCCUGAUGGAGGGGGAUAACUACUGGAAACGGUCGCUAAUACCGCAUACCAUCAGAUGAAACCAUAUGGGAUUAGCUUGUAGGUAAGGUAACGGCUUACCUAGGCCACGAGCCCUAGCUGGUCUGCAAGGAUGAUCAGCGACACGGGGACGGGGACACGGCCCAGAGCCCUACGGGGGGAAGCAGUAGGGAAUAUUGCUCAAUGGGCGCAAGCCUGAUGCGGCCAUGCCGCGUGUAUGAUAAAGGCCGUCGGGUUGUAAAGUACUUUCAGUCGGGAGGCGUUACCGACAGAAGAGAAACCGGCUAACUCCGUGCCAGCCACCGCGGUAAUAC
rnacentral:rRNA from 1 species